AAACAAAAAGGUGAAAAGAGAAACAGAGCAUAACGUGAGAGAAAGAGAGAAAAGUAAGGAAAAACAAUAAGGAAAUUGAGAAAAAUAACUUUAUAAGCUUGCAAGUUCAACCUAUAAAACACUAAAGCAAGUGAAGGAAGGAGGGAGGGUUUGAGAAGGGGAAUUCAGCUAACUUUGGAAGAGAAGAGAAAUUGGAAGAAAAACAAUAGGAGUUGUGUCUGGAGCUGGUUAUCAGACAGAAGGAGCUGGGUCAUCCCGAGCAGAAGGUACACCGCGAGGUGAUGUAGAUCGUUAGAUGUAGGAAUACUCCUGUUUAUGAAUCACUAUUUUGGAAUGUAAUAUUCAUGUCUUUACUUUGAGUGUAAAUCCUUUUGUGUUGUAAAAAUUAAGUAGAAGGUGUAAUAUGUAGUGGAUGUAUUAUAUAUAUGUAUAGUUGUUAGUAUGACCAAAUCAUUUUCAAAAUGAUAAGAUAAGAUUUAUUAUAAAUAUAAUAUGACUCUUAAUCUUAA